rnacentral:sRNA from 1 species
AUCCCUGAAGAGGCAAGAGGCACUCGAUUGCCUCCCUAGUUCCUGCCCUGCCCUGCAUUUGACAUGCGCUGAUGAUUAACCAUACAAGUAACGACUGUCAGGCUCUCAGCGGCUUGCAGACCAUUUCGUAUCCUUCCAUGUUCGCCUGUAGUUUCUGAACUGCUUCAUGUAGAGCAGCCAAUGGCUCGUGACAAGCCUGGCAGGGUCACUGCAGCCCUCGGCCUCCCCCUACUUCACCACGCUGAGUGACUUCCGUGCGUGCAAGAAGCCGGGUAUGCUGCUGGAUUAUACCUUAACCAUGUAUUUUCAACAAUAUUGGAGAGAUAAAAGGCUCGCCUAUUCUGGGAUCCCUCUCAACCUCACGCUUGACAAUCGAGUGGCUGACCAGCUAUGGGUGCCCGACACAUAUUUCUUAAAUGACAAAAAGUCAUUUGUGCAUGGAGUGACAGUGAAAAACCGCAUGAUCCGUCUUCACCCUGAUGGGACAGUGCUGUAUGGGCUCAGAAUCACCACGACAGCAGCAUGCAUGAUGGACCUCAGGAGAUACCCCCUGGAUGAGCAGAACUGCACUCUGGAAAUUGAAAGCUAUGGCUACACCACGGAUGACAUUGAGUUUUACUGGCGAGGCGGGGACAAGGCUGUUACCGGAGUGGAAAGGAUCGAGCUCCCGCAGUUCUCCAUCGUGGAGCACCGUCUGGUCUCGAGGAAUGUUGUCUUCGCCACAGGUGCCUAUCCUCGACUGUCACUGAGCUUUCGGUUGAAGAGGAACAUUGGAUACUUCAUUCUUCAGACUUAUAUGCCCUCUAUACUGAUAACGAUUCUGUCGUGGGUGUCCUUCUGGAUCAAUUAUGAUGCAUCUGCUGCUAGAGUUGCCCUCGGGAUCACAACUGUGCUGACAAUGACAACCAUCAACACCCACCUUCGGGAGACCUUGCCCAAAAUCCCCUACGUCAAAGCCAUUGACAUGUACCUUAUGGGCUGCUUCGUCUUUGUGUUCCUGGCCCUUCUGGAGUAUGCCUUUGUCAACUACAUUUUCUUUGGAAGAGGCCCUCAAAGGCAGAAGAAGCUUGCAGAAAAGACAGCCAAGGCAAAGAAUGACCGUUCAAAGAGCGAAAGCAACCGGGUGGAUGCUCAUGGAAAUAUUCUGUUGACAUCGCUGGAAGUUCACAAUGAAAUGAAUGAGGUCGCAGGCGGCAUUGGCGAUACCAGGAAUUCAGCAAUAUCCUUUGACAACUCAGGAAUCCAGUACAGGAAACAGAGCAUGCCUCGAGAAGGGCAUGGGCGAUUCCUGGGGGACAGAAGCCUCCCGCACAAGAAGACCCAUCUACGGAGGAGGUCUUCGCAGCUCAAAAUUAAAAUACCUGAUCUAACCGAUGUGAAUGCCAUAGACAGAUGGUCCAGGAUCGUGUUUCCAUUCACUUUUUCUCUUUUCAACUUAGUUUACUGGCUGUACUAUGUUAACUGAGUGACUGUACUUGAUUUUUCAAAGACUUCAUUUAACACUGAGUGAAAUAUUACUCUGCCUGUCAAGUUUUUAUACCUGUACACACACAGACACACACACAAGCAGACACACACAUAUAUACAUACGCAAUUGUAUAUAUAUGUGAACUUUCUCAGCAUAUAUAUAAAAUACACGUGUAUAUGAGGAUGUAUGUGUAUAUGUUUAUACACACAGGAGUCAGUGCCCAUGUGUAUGGAAGACAAAUACACAUACAUAUAUACAUUUUGCAGCUAUGGACAAUUUACCACAGGAUGCAUAUUAAAGAAAGUCAUAGUUUUUUUCUUUUUUAAUUGAAAGGGACAAGUAUCAUCUAAAUAUUAUGCCUUGAGAAUGAGGGCGUGAAACACAAUAUCAUCCCCAAAUGUGUCUUCUAUUAUCAUAAGUUAGAUGUUUUAGUUUAAAAAUCAGAAAGACAUUCUUAGUUAAUCUUUGAAAACUCAUACAGUGGUAUUGCUAGUUUAAAAUGAGUCACUUACUUCAUAUCCUCUCGUUCAGUUUAGUAAGCGAAGGCUUCUUGGCUUCUCUGGUGAUGGGGUUUGUUUUCAUCGGGCAUACGUUUUCUGCAAUGGUUUAGUGGCUGGGGUGAGCCACUGGCAGUGUGCUUACCUGUUGUCUUAAACAGAUAGAUCCCACGUUGAUGUCUGAACGACCGUCUUUUGAAAACUCAUCGGGAGUGAAUGGCAUCUCGUUGUAAGUACUCUAAUAUACAGUGUGUAGUUUGUUUAUGUUGUUCACUUGGAGUGGAUCCAGCUUCACUGUCAUGUGCCAACACAGUGACAGGUUUGGCCAGUGACAUUUCAAUCACGGAAAAUGUGCUCUACAUCUCGUAUGGAUUUCUGGGCCUGAUAUCCAACAGAAAGCAUAGACGUCUCAGGUUAUUCGUUACUCUAAGGUAAAACCAUCUAGGAUGAUUUUCCCCCUUGCAGUUAUGUUAUCAUUCUUAUAACAUUGUAUGUUAAUAGAAAAUAUAUUUGCAUAAUAUGCAUAUAUAUGUAUAUUUACCAAGAUUUUGUUUCUUACGCUUGCUAUCAUGGCAGCAUGCGAUGUCAUAUUUUCCUUUAUGUGAUGUAACUACUUUCUGUUAUCUAGAAAUUAAGAUUGAAGCUAAAACACUUCUACUGUUCAAUUUCAGAAACUAAGAAUCAUCCUCAUGCCUUUAUUUCUGUAUCUGACAUAUUUCAUAAGCACAUCCAACUACUCCUAGACUGACUAGGAUUCUGCAGGAACACGACCCGUACACACCACGCGUCACCCAACGACCCAUGACCGUUCUCUGAGGCAAAGGAGGGCAACCUGACAGCAAACACAGUCACUGUUGGUUCCUUCUGAUCCACAGCCUCAUCAGUAUUUGGACUUUUUAAAGCUCGUAGAAACAAGACAAGGUGCACCGGUUUCAUAGACGCAACCUUAACUUACUAUUUAGAUGAGAUCUUUCUAAAGAAAAAAAAAAGAGAUGAUAUAUUUUUUGUAAACAAUAUUUCUAUCACAGGCAUCCAUAAACUGAAAUGACUACAGUUGUGCAAACAGGUGUCACAGUGAAGUUGAGCAUUUGGAGAAAAAAAAAAAAGCAAAAUUUGCAGGAAGAACUGCUAAAUUAAUACUUUAUCCCAAAAUGCCACGUAUGCCUCACCCUCUCUGUUCUAUCCAAAACCAAGGACCAGAGUGCUCCAAUGGUAGGCCCCAGUUGUCUCGAUGUAGGUAGAGGCACCACCCUCCCCGAGGAUGCGUGUGGUGUGGACUAUCCCCAUGAGCUGACCACUACUUGAUUUUUCUUUGGUGGCCGUAACAACCUUUAAUUUGUGGGCAUCUGCAACAGUUCAUAACCCACCAUCAGAUAAAACAUAAUCCACAAAAUCUCACGCUAGAGGCAAUUACCUACUUUUAGACUCUUUUCCCUCUUUCAUUCCUAUCUUUUUCCUCCUAAUCGCUGCUCUCUGGUUUUAUUUUCAUCUGGAGACUAGCCAGGGAUUUCUUUGGCUUUGGCUUUUCUCUGACCAUUUUUUCCAUGGGUAACAAUGGGGGAUCCUAAAAGUUAAACAGAUUGGGAAAAACCUUGUUAAGUGGCCUUAUCAUUAUUAUCAUGUUAAAGAAAAAAAAUACAUUUGCAAAGACCUUAUCCCUUUCAAUACUUCAGGUAUCUUUUUCUGUAUCCAGUAAUUAAAGGUGUGAGGUCCACAUGCAGAAGAGGGACCCCAAAAUGUAAAUGGAUGUGGACAAAAACAGUCAAUGGUCUAUUUAAGUGUAUAAUUUAUACUAUUCAGAACUGUGACAUUAAUUCUUUCUGGGAGAAAAGUGAUUUAAAACUUUUUUGAUGCAUAGUUGAGGUACCCAAAUAUCAAAGGCAGAGACCCCAUGGGGCUCCAAAGAGCUGCAGUCUCCUUCCCAAGGUUUUCUGGAUAUAAAUUUGCAUGGUAUAGUCAUAAUAGCUUUUGAGCUUUUUAUAUGCAUUUGGCACCAAGACUGGGAUCCACAACUUUGUAGACACUGCGAUGAAGUUAACAUAUUAGCUAUACUAUAAAUAGUGUUUGUAACUACACACACACACACACACACACAAAUACAUACAUAUAUUCUGUAAAAACAAAAAAAGAAAACUUUUUAAGAUCCUUGGGUAUGUGUUUGCUUUACUCCAUUUCAGAAGAAAAUUACUUUUCUUCUAACAAAAUUAUUUUAUAGCUUCUCCAUUUUUAAAACUUGUGAGAGCAUUGAGAAGAGAACUCUGACUGUGUUAACAGAAGAGAGUUGAAUUGGAGUCUCUGUUGUGUUAAAAUGACCUCUCGUUACUCCACAGUAGUUAUUUGAGCCAGUGACUGAGUCGCGUUGAGGAAUUCUGAACCCGGACCUCUGACAUUGUUGGGAGGUGGCUGUUACCCACACCCAGACUUGGGUAUGGACAAGUUUCUGUCUUGAGUAAGGACAGAAACGUUAUCAUUGGGGAUAUAAUGAGAUUUCUUUCUUAACAAUUGAAAGUAAUAAAAAGUUAAUUUUCUCAGUAGUCCUGUCUUUCCAAAAUGCGCCACAGGGGCUCAAGAUCUACAGAAGAAUCUUGUUAUGACAGUUUGUUAUUACCCAUAUUCAGAUAUCCUUGAGAUAAUGGAAGAGCCCUGCUACAUAACUCCCUACAGAGAAAGACUGAUAGACUUGAGUAGUCCUUAAAACAAGUGUUAUUCCUGUUCACCAACCCCGGGACUGUGGAGGGGUUUCACUGUCUAUACCAUGCGACAUCCAUUUCCCCUGAAUCUCAAACGAACUAGAAAGUAUGUCAUGAUAAUGUUUCCAUUAGAUUUGGAAGCUACCUGUACAUCUGCAAUAUCAUGUGUUUUUAACGCCAGCACCCAGAACUUUGACAUGUUCAGUCACUCCCUGAAAGGCACUUCUCUCUUGUCCAAACACAGCGUUGACAUUUUUACCGAGGAGAUCAUCUCAAAGGUGAUGCCAAACGAGUCUGGGGCUGGUUUUAAGGGGACAGGCACAUUGCAGUUGUAGGUGUUCAUUUUCAGCAUCUAGUAGAUAAUCCAUUGGUGUUUGUCCCACCAUUGGUGUAUUCUAACAAGAAUGUGUCCAACUUUGAAUCUCCUGGCUUGAAAGUAUAAACCAUCACUUAAUUCUUAUUUUAACUCUCCACCUGAAAACCAGUUCAUAUUUCUGGCCAUUUUAUGUAAGCAAAACUGAACAAUUGGUGAAACAUUUUGUUACUCUUGGAAUUGACUCUGGCUGUCAGUGUGAGCCAUUAGAGUAACAUCGAAUCUUGGGGCAAAGAGCUGCCCAGGUGAAUUAAAUUUUUCCAGGACACUAUCUAGUGUGCCUUGGAUUGCUUACCUCUUCUACUGCAUUGAAAGGUGCCAUGUUUUCCUGAAAUACUAAAUUCCCAACACCUGGGUAAACAAUGACGUCCCAGAGAGUGGCUCCCGUAUGCCUCUCCUUAGGACCAACCCCAUGAACAUGUUUUGUCACGCUUGUCUCACGUUUCUACUUCACAAGUCAGUGAGUGUGUUUAAGGUAAGUACAGGAUUAUUCUAGUAGGAAUAGGCGAUUGCUGUCAUAAUCAAUUCUCAUGUUGAUUUCAUUUUAUUGUAAAGAUAAAUUUAAACCCAGUUUUGCUUAAGCACAU